CUCGAAACCCACUUGAGUUGUGUUUACGGCAAAAGCACAUCUGUGGAGAUGAGACAUUUUGCAUCACAAUAAAAACUUUUAUGAUCAUGGAAUCCACGAGGCCUUGAAGCCGGACUCAAUGCUCGUAAAAUGGAUGCAAGCUGUUU